GUUUGAGUGAACUGCGGGAGUUGGUGAUGGACAGGGAGGCCUGGCGUGCUACAAUUCAUGGGGUUGCAAAGAGUUCGACACGACUGAGUGACUGAACUGAACAUAACUGAGGUUCACUGAGUCCUGCAAAGUGGGCCUCAGGCCUGAGCAGGUGAGGCGGGGGCUCCUGAAACCUUCCCACUGAGCUGUCAGCAGAGAGGGGCCUCACCCCUCCCCGAGGACCUCCCAGCAAUGAAUAGUGUCAGAGCUUCUCUCCCUGUGAGGUGGAGAUGCUCCUGUGUCCUCAGAUGGCGCGCGUUAGUUCAUUCUCACCCUCUGACGCUGAGACCCAGUGAACAGAAUGCACGGAGGAGCAAGGGUCAGCGACCAGCAUGACCCCCAGGCUGGUCGUCUACUAAACCACUGGGCGCUGUGUAAACCCGCACUGAGGGAGGACCGUGCUGGACGGACAGAUGCUGUUUCCUCCAAGCCACGCAGCCCAUUCCACAGACUCCUGGAGGCUCUGCAAGGAAAUGAGCAGACAAUUCUGAAAUGAAGUGGAAGCAGAAAGGUUCGGGGAUCAGGACGAGGGGGAUGCUCCCUCCAGGUGUUGGCCCUGGGUCCCGAGAGGCAGGGCAGGGUCAGGACAGGAGGUAGAGACGGAGCGACCUGGCACCGGAGCCUCUGAAAUCAGGGACAGUGAUGGUGUCGGGGGGUACACGGGCCCUUUCUUCUGUGUCGGGAGAUGCUCUGAGUGUC
ensembl:lncRNA